GGUCAAGGCUCCGAUUCGGGGCCAAAUCCGGGACUGCCCCCGCAACUGUAGGCGGAGAGGGUCCGACCCCCACAGCCACUGACCGCUCAUCCGGUUGGGAAGGCCGGGUCGAAUCCGUUGACCCGCAAGUCAGGAGACCUGCCAUCACGAGAGUCGUCGCG
rnacentral:misc_RNA from 1 species